GUCGAACGUGAAUGCUAGUACCUAGUAUUGGGUGGAAAGUGGCGAACGGGUGAGUAACACGUUGGUGACCUGUCCCGAGGAGGGGGAUGACCGUGGGAAACCAUGGCUAAUACCCCGGAUGUCUAGGUUGUUAGAGAGCCUAGGCCAAAGCUCCGGCGCCUUGGGAGGGGCCUGCGGGCUAUCAGCUUGUUGGUGGGGUAACGGCCUACCAAGGCUAAGACGGCUAGGGGGCGUGAGAGCGCGACCCCCCACAAUGGAACUGAGACACGGUCCAUACUCCUACGGGAGGCAGCAGUGAGGAAUAUUGCGCAAUGGGGGCAACCCUGACGCAGCAACGCCGCGUGGACGAUGAAGGCCUUCGGGUUGUAAAGUCCUUUUUUGGGGGAUGAUAAUGACGGUACCCCAAGAAUAAGUCCCGGCUAACUACGUGCCAGCAGCCGCGGUAAAACGUAGGGGGCGAGCGUUAUCCGGAUUUACUGGGCGUAAAGCGCACGUAGGCGGCGCUGUAAGUUGGACGUGAAAGCUCUCGGUUUAACUGGGAGAGGUCGUUCAAUACUGCGGUGCUCGAGGUUGGAAGAGGAGAGUGGAAUUCCCGGUGUAGUGGUGGAAUGCGUAGAUAUCGGGAGGAACACCAGUGGCGAAGGCGACUUCUCUGGUCCACACCUGACGCUGA
rnacentral:rRNA from 1 species